UCAUAAGUCAGACAAUUUUGUUCAUUGUUAUUACCUCUGGGUCACUGGUACUAAAGUGUUUAAGUGUCACGCUGUCCUUCAUUUUAGGUGAUCACAAAGGUGGGAUUUGUUUCUUUAUUUAUAAAACAUUUUACCAGGAUGGAUACUUUGAGAUUUCUCUAGUUUUCAAAUAUGUCCUGGAAUGAGUUGAAGCCCUCACAAUAUACCUAUCUUGCUUUACCAUCAUUAUCCAGAAGGGAAGUGGCUAACUGUACCUCUCCUUUAGGUAUUUGGUUUAGAAUUCUAACCACUUAAUCUGAUUAUUUUAGAAUGUUAAAUGAGCAAAUUUAAUCAAGUGCAAGAAAAGUCACGUUUCUCCAAGAGAUUCAUUAGGCAAGAAAAUUAUCAACAUCUUUUUUCAGCACCAAUAAUUCAGACUUGUUUAGUGCUCAAUUACGAUUCCAAAUCUUGUAAAUGAACAAGGGAAACUUUGUUGACCGUGAGGAUGUAGUGAUUAAUGAUAAAGUGUAUGGUAUUGUUAGUGUAUAUGCCUUUAAGCUAGUAACUUGUUUCAUUUUACACUUUAAUUUUUCUUGCACAAUUUUAGAUUGGCUACUUGAUUGUUGGGAGUGACCAUAACAAUAAUAAGUGCUCAGAUUGACAUAUCUCACCCCCAAGCAACUCACUCCAUUGACAUAAAUCUGUGGCUCAGUUGAUGCAUAACUUGAAUCUUCUUGUUUAAUGGUACAUCCUUCAUAAAUCCAAAAUUGAUUUUAUUUUCCAUUUCCAGAUGCAUGAUACCAUAUCCCAAAUUAACAUGUACUUAGUCGCCUUUUUCCUAUGAUUU